UAGCAAUAGCUAAUUGUAUUAACAUAAUAAAAUAGNUUUUACAGUAUCGAGUGAUUCGAAUAAAAUUCUAGGUAGAUUUAUGAUAAUGACAUUAUCUACUUAUAAGUCUUGACCAAAAUACGUGCCAGCAGUCGCGGCAAGACGUAGAAGACUAGUGUUAUUCAUCUUUAAUAGGUUUAAAGUGUACCUAGACGGUAAAUAUAGCCUAAAUAAGGUACUUAUUUACUAGAGUUACAUGUAAGGGUGUAUUAAAGUACUGUUGCGUUUAGAGAUGAAAUUCUUUUACACCAGAUAAUUGGCACAGGUAUAGGCGAAAGCAUCACCUUAUGUAAUAACUGACGUUGACGGACGAAGGCUAUGUGUCGCGAACAGGAUUAGAUACCCUAGUAGUCUUAGCAGAAAAAUAUGAAUGUCGCAGAUUAGAUUUUAUUUAGUCUAUAAAUGAAAAUGUAAGCAUUCCACCUCAAGAGUAAUAUGGCAACAUUGAAACUGAAAUCAUUAGACCGUUUCUGAAACCAGUAGUGAAGUAUGUCGUUUAAUUUGAUAACCCGCAAAAAACCUUACCACAAUUUGAAUAUAAAUGAUGUAUUUUUACAAGUGUUGCACGGCUGUCUUCAGUUAAUGUCGCGAGAUUAUGGUUAGUUCCAUUUAAUUAACGUAAACCCUUGCUUCUUUUUNNNNNNNNNNNAGAGUGUCCACCAUCAUAUGGAAGUGUAACAGGGAUCAAGACA
rnacentral:rRNA from 1 species